ensembl:lncRNA
AUGAAAUUGGGAGAAAUGAGAAAAAGCACGUAUCUGAAAAUACCUUUCACCCAUUCACACCUGUUUGAAUAUUUCAGGCACCAUCUGCCAGCAGCUUCCCAUGUGGCCUAUGGAGGACAACUGCCGGGUGCCCAGGAAGUGCCACCAAAGGGCUUCGGGGCUCACAGUCUGAGGACGGACAGCCCACAGUUCACUCUGGAGUGUAGCUGUUGCCAGGUGUGGCUGGGCAGGGGUCAACAAGUUCCCGCUUGCCCCGCAGAAGAACCCACACUGGAACUGAAAGUGAGGAAAGCGUUGCGUAAGCCGUUCAGUGUCAUGAUGACUGCAGUUCAACGCCAGCCAAACUCAACUUAGGAGAUUGCUUCAGAGGCAACCAUUUCCUGGACAAAGAACGUGAAGAGACAGUUUACAAAAAAAGGAACUACAAUGCAUCGACUGAUACAUGGAAAAAUGGUUAGCUCCUCAGGUAUUCAAGAAAAUGCAAAUUCUGAUAAAGUCACUUUGCAAAACUAACCUGCGGUGUGAGAUGUCAGGACAGCAGUUACCCGUGGGUGGGGUGGAGGAGGGCGAAAAGGGGCCCAGCAGGGGCUUCUGAGCUUCUGGUCAUGUUGUUCUUGAUGGGGGUGCUGGUUAUUUAGGGGUGCUCACUUUGUGAAAAUACACCUAUGACUUGUAUACAUCUCUGGAUGUAUGAUAAACCUCAUUGUAAAGUUUAUAUAAGAAAUAAGCUCACUUUCUAUUAAGUUAGCAGCAAAAAAAAAAAAAAACUCCAGAAAUAUUCAUAUUUGUUAACUCAAUAAUUCUACUUCUGAGAUUCUAACUUAAGAAAGAAUCCCAAGUGUCAAAAAAGGCUUAAAUUGCAAUAUUGUUUUUAAUAACAAAAAGUACGUAUUAGUAAAACAUUGAAAGCAAUCUACAUGUUCAGCUAUAGGGCAAUGGUUAAGAAAACUUUGAGGAGUUCCCGUCAGGCUCAGUGGUUAAUGAACCCAACUAGCAUCCAUGAGGACACAGGUUCGAUCCCUGGCCUCACUCAGUGGGUUAAGGAUCCGCCAUGCUGUGAGCAGUGGUGUAGGUCACAGAUGUGGCUCGGAUCCUGCAUUGUGGCUGUGCCCUAGGCUGGCAGCUAUUAGUUCACAUUUGACCCCUCACCUGGGAACCUCCAUAUGCCCCACCCCACCCCCCCAAAAAAGCCAAAAAAAAAAAAGAAAGAAAACUUGGAUAAGAAAACUUUGUCAUCCCCUGAUGACAUUUUAUGGACUCUUUAACAGUAAACUAAUGUAGUAAUGACAGAGGAAACACAAUACAGUGAGUGGGAAAAGCAGGAAAUGAAAUAGUAGGCACAAUUACAAACCACAUUUAAAAUUUUUUUAAAAGAGGAACAGCUCUAUGCAGAGAAAAUCACUAGAAGAUAAAAAAGUGAGCAAUGCUUGAGUUUGGUACUAAGUCCAUGUGGGACAUAACAUCAUUAAUUUCCUCUCCCAUGUUAUCCAAAUUGUAUUUAAUGAGCCUGUAUUACUUUGGUAAAGGAGAGAAUGUUUAACAGGUCUGCUGUGUGGCUUCCACUCAGUUUCAGGAGGCAUUGUCCUUUGCUUCUCCCAGAUCCCCUACACCCCUGCCAGUCUGUGUUUGGGUGCCUAAUGUCACCAUUCUGAGUGGAAUGGAACCGGCACUAAAACCUGUCACCCCCUAGGGAGAGAAUAAAGCCAACUGUCCUCUCCA